UCAGCCAUCCCACCUCUUUUUGAAUCCCAGCAAUUUCUAGCCCACUCCAAGCCCGACCUGGCCCAAAUUCUUUCCCUUCACAAAAGAAACCCAGAAGAAAUGAUAAAGAAACAAUCAAACGCCAAAUUUAUGGCAUAGCACAACAUUCACAACGACAAUGCAUGAACGAAUCCACCCUAUGCUUGUACGUGCAUCAUGUGAAGGAGAACAAGAGAAAGUUCAAGAAAGCGCAACAACGGUCUCAAAUGGGGAGCACACGGUGUCUAUGUACGAGUUUCUUGUCGUUUCUUCUUCUUUUGAUGUUCCAGCACAGUCAUGCUGCUCCAAAAGUUAAAGCACCUAUAAUUUCAUCCUCGCAGUCGCACGAAUCGUCACUACUCGCCUGGAGAUGAAGCCACUUAGCACUUAAGGAUAAUCGAUUCAAUAGAAAAUGCUUGCGUCCUUUUCAACUUUUGUGCUUUUGAAAAGUUGGAUUUCCUCGUACAAGAUCAGCUUUGUCUCGACUUUGGGAUGAAAAAAUUAGAAAUGUAAUUGGGUGGGAAUGUCAAUUUUUCCCUAUAGCUUCUCCGAAAUCACUCGUCUCUCCCCUUUAAUUUUCGACCUAAAUCCCCGUCGAUAUAAAUGUAUCUUCUUCUCUAUUCAUGGGUUGGAGAUUUUAUGUUAGGAAAAUUUUGAGUUACUGUCUAUACAUAGUUAUAUAUAUAAAUAUUAGGAAAUAUGUUUUCAUGUGAUAGAGAUUAGGAAUCAUAUUUCUACUCUGUUCAUCAUGUUCUCGAAGACGUAUUUUAGUGGUGAUGAAGUCAUCGCCUGCUUGCCUCGUCCUAGUCUUGCUGCUUGUAUAAAGGUAACACUUUCUCUUUCGUAAUAUUUUCUUGUCUCCUAUAUUUUGAAAUGGUGUUUUCCAGGAAGUUUAUUUUGGUGCUGAUGGUUAUUGGAAUCUUGACAUAUAGGUACACCUUAUUUGUGAUGCUUUAAUUAUUCCAUUGUCUACUAAUGAGUAUCGUUUUUGUUCUUGUUCAUUCAUGCCUAGAUUUGUUGAUUCAUUGUUUAUUUUAAGGGUAUUUCAUUAUCUCUUAUUUAGUUUAUUUGUUUGAAUGUUGAUGAACCUACAUGUCUUCCUUUCCCUUGAAUGCUAACAUCAGUAUCCAUAUUCGGUGUAUUUAUUUUUAUUUUUUAAAAAACUUUAGGUCUGGUUUUCUUUCAAAAGAAAAGAAAAGUUCUCUCAUGGUUUAGUCCAACUGUUUAAAUUAGUUAUUUAGCAUUUGCCAGUUUUUAAUCAAGAUCAUUGUUGUUGGUGGUGAUCUUGUACUUCUAUUCAACUCUAGGUUGCGCUUAUUUCCGGGAAAACUCAAGUCCAAAUGGACAAGGUCAUUCCUCGUCACCAAAGUGUUUCCUAAUGGAGAAGCUGAGCUGGAGAACAAGGAAGGCACAAGGUUCAUAGUCAAUGGGUAAACAAUGAAGAUCUAUCUGAGGCACGCGGAAAGUGUUCAAGAACCGGUUGAGGCCUAUCAUCUUGAUGAAGUCUGAGUAUUCAAGGGGCAUCCGUCGUGCUGCGAUGUUAAAUCAAGCGCUACUUGGGGGUAACUCAAGGAAGAAAGAUUUGAAAUCUACAGGAAAUGGUCUGGUGCAGAGGUUUGCAUACCUCAUCAAAGUGCCAUCGUUCAAUCGUGGAACCGUCAAUGGUGUCCGUAAAUCCCAAGUAAGAUUCCAAAUUUUCUAAUUCUAAGAGUGAUCAACGGUCAUGAUCAUUAGACUGUCAAUCUAUCUACAUACCGUCAAUGAGGUCUCAUUACCAGUGAACCGACCCAAACCCGACCGUCUAUAUUGAAAACCCACCAUUCAAAUUCUUCCCCCCUUUCCAUUUUCUUUCCAAAUUCUAUCCAUAACCAUUUCUCUAAUUUUCUCCCUGAAUCACUCCCCAUAUCAUCACCAAAUCUAUACAAUCCCUCUUUCUUAUCGCUUUCCCCAAAUCCUAAUCGACUGGUGAUCGGGUUUGGCACACAUUGACUUUGUCUUUGGGAUUGCACAUCAAUGUAGGGACACAAUCACUACACUCUUUGAGAUGAUAAACGAAAAGAGGUGAUUACCAUACUGAUCACAUAGGUACAUCGAGUCCUCAUGGAGACUCUACAUACACUUUGAGAGGUGCACCGACUCUUUACCUUCCACAAGUGAAAUUGAAUGGCUUAGGACUUAGGCACAUAUAGUGAGGAGAUUGUGCAGGAUUUCUAUGCCUCCUAUGCUACCACUCUCCGAGGUCCCAUGGACAAGUGGGAAAAACCCACCAAACAGGACCCUUUCACUUCUACACUAGUCCGAGGUUGCCGGGUCAACAUCUCGCAAGCAACCAUCGAACGAAUCCUAUACAGACCCAACCACCGGUAUAGAGUGGAUUUAUUAUACUUUGAAGUUUUAUUAUAGGUGGGACAUUAUUUGGGGUGGUGAUUUUCAAAGAAGUGCGGAGAAGCGAGAGAUAUUGAAAAUGUGGUUGUCUCAAUAUAUAGAGAUAGAUGUGAGCUGGUUGACUUGGUCAUAGCACCCCGAGUAAGCAUCAAGAAGGACAUACUAAUUUUAGCGGCCAAAUUCUUUUGGUUGCUGGUCCGAAACAGAGUGUCACCCACACAGGCUGACAAUCACUCAGAUGGGACAGGGCUCUCAUGGUGGCAGCAUCGUAGCAGGGCUAGAGAUUGACUUUGCUCGGAUGAUGUUAGUGGAGAUACACGAGAAGGCAUUUAAGAUCUCCACUACUUACCCAUUUCUGUGUUUGAUCUUUUAUAUGUACAAGGAUGUUGGAGUGUCAAUCUGGAAUUUGAUACACUUCUCUACCAUAUCAAGACAUUGGAUAUAGGUCUAAUCAAGGAUGAGGCUAAUGUGGUAGCACAUGCAGAGGGCCUCGAGUCGAGGUUCCUUCUUUGGGAGACAAUCUUGAAGACAUGGUGGAGCUAGCCCAAGGGGUUGAUCCCUCCAUUCCCAAAGCAUGUCGAUCCCACUCCGACCUUUUCUUCGCAUGCAGCCAAUAGGACCCCUAACUCUCCAUAUCCACACCACCAGCUGCAGCAGUGAUUUCUCUAGCUAGAGUCCAAAAUCUAGAGACGCAGAUAGUCACUUUACUCCAUCACAUACAACCAUAGAUGCAGAAGUCCAUAGCGGAGGCAAAGGAUCGCAUAGAGAAGCGGGUGUCCAAGCAGAUGGAGCAUCAAAUUGAGGCAGUUCACAAAUGCCUUGACGCUUUUAAGCUGCGUGUUUUGGCCCGACAAAACCCACCACUGAUCUCGCUACCAUUCAAAAAGAGUUGGCUAGACUGCGAGCCCACAUUGAUGCUAUUUUCGACAUGCAAAGGACUGAGAUAGAGCUAGCUGAAAACAUUGUUCUUGAAGUCUUGUACAAGGUCCUUGCUGAGAUAAAGCCCAAACCCCGUGUUUGUGGCAACUUUCACCAUUUUAGCCGCACCGCUGAGGCUGGUGAUGAGGCCCGUUCAAGAAAAAAAGAGCAUACAAAGCUGGAACAGGCUAUGAGGGCCUCAUUAGUGGAUGAAGAGAUGCACCAAAGGAGGGUGCAAGAGGCAUCCAAUUCCAUGCAUAUGAGCGGAGCAAAGAGCACUACGAAUGGUGUAGAGAUAGAUGUAUAUGGCAUUACCGAUACUGUCAUCCUUAUAGAUGUGGGCACUAUUGAUGGUGACCCAAUGGCUGAUCCUGCUAGCUCUGGAAAACCAAACCCACUCGCUUGUUGAGAGGUCUUCGGCGCUAUGUGCCACAGGUUUGCUUCACCUUUCAUCAUAAUGUUCAUAAUUUAUUUUACAUUGGGGACAAUUGCAUUAUUUUUGUUAGGGUUGUGUAAAUGGAAUGUGAGUGAUAGGGUGAAGUCUGAGUAUCUCAACUCACAAUUCUCUAUUAGGGUUUACUUGUUUGUAUUCUUUUUCCCCAAGAGACUGCUUAAAUUUCUGUUAAACUGGCAUGUAUUAGUGAGUGUAUGUGUAGAAGCAUGAAAGACUGAAGCAUGAUGGCUAAUGAAAAAUGAUACCCCCAUCAAAUUGUAGUGCUUAAAGUAUAGGUUCAGAUAAGUUGUUUGUGUUGAGUCUAAACAUGACAGGAAAAGGCACCAACUUCAUGACAUUCAACCAAAACUUAAACUGGGAAUCAUGAUUAUCUAAUAGUGCAACGAUGGGCCAAGUGAAUGUGAGGAUAUUUGAGUGUUCAACAGUUUGUGUCUAACUCAAACUUGAUCGGUUAGUCUUGCUAAAAAUCUACUAUACAAGCUAGGAAAUGGUCAUAUACCCUUGUUCAAAAUAGCCCAUAUCUAUCCUAAAAGAGGUUAACCAAAUGAAAUAAAUGUUCCCUUUUGAUUUAAAUAUGUUGAGCCAGUAAUAGACCAUUUUUUUACCAACUCACCUUCCCAGGGUAUAAUGUUUUGGCCAGUCCCUCCUUGGACAUAUGUAUCUCGACUUAGGCAAAAGCCUAAGUUGAGGGUGGCUAAUACAAAAAGUGACCUCGUCUUGGCCCUGACCCGACAUCACGCAUUGUGCACCUUGACUCAUGGAAAACAUAUGAGUUAAGGAUGGAUAUUAUGAAAGAAGACCCAAAAAUGGGUGUGAAAAGUGUUGGAUGUUCAAAAGAAAUGCAUAAUUAAGAGAAGGAUGUGACUUGGCGAAAAUGAAAGAACAGUUGAAAAAAAUAAGGAGAUAAGAAAAGGAAGAGUACUCUGAGAAAAAGAUACAAAAAAGUGAAGUCAUGUCUUAAAGGGAAAUAAGGCAAAAGUGAAGAUAAAAGAAAUAGGGGGUCAAGAACAAAAAAA